UACGCCGUAGGAAUGAGAUCGGAAUGAGAAACAACGUCGCACGAUCCGACAUUCGCGCGACCACGGUGACACGAUUUAAAGACUGCACGCGGCUCGCACCGUACACAUUAACGUGUCGCGAUUCCGUAUUCACUUGCGCGGGUGGGUAACCGUGACGUUGAAGUUUGGCGGCACGCGAGAGGCGUGUUUCCCAGGCUGUGCAACUGUGCGGUGCUAUUCCCGUUUCUCCAUCUUCCGCAUUCCUCGCACCGAUUGGAGUAUCUUUCUCCGUGCACGAGGCGUCGUAUCGACGGCGCUCCGAAAUUAUCGCGCCCAGACGGAUCUCUUCGCCCCGAAGGAAAAGGUCGACGUAACGGAGCAGAAAACAAUCAAGAUUGUCUACGGCUGAUCAGAGGAUGAACUAACUGUUAAAUUUCCAAGAGGGACCGAGGAGGGCAGACGCGCGUCAUCGCCAAAUUUUCCUAGGCGUCCGGGUUCGGGAGGAUGCAGCGGUCGAUGACGUGAAUCGACCGACUAUCGGUCGACGAGUACGUGCCUCGUCGUCGGUUGAAUGGCUGGCCAAGCACUCGGUUCUCGUUGUCCGAGGACUGUCUUCUCACGGUGCCGGACGAACCACGAAUAGGCGUGUUUCCUGUACACCGAUCCAUACACUCGUCAGCUCGUAGACUGGCCGAUUCGUUUUAGCCAUCAAAUACUGACCCCGUAGUCGUUUCGUCGUCUCCGCGGAAUUCCCUCCACUAUCAUCGACUCCGAUCCGUCCACGUCUUCCCUGGAAUCCCACGAGAUAAGAGAAACGACGGGCAUCAGAAUCGCGGGGACAGGGGAAGCAGAAUCCGUGGAAUAGCUCGCCGAAGCGUCGUUCUUAAGAAGCUUCCACCGAGGAACGAGUGGAAGGCCAGUCAUAGCGAGACCAAACGCUCGGGGAUAGGUCGGGAGCCGACUAGUGGCCAGUUUCCACUGGAGGUCGUACUCGCGACGGAUGAAGGCAACGCUCCAGGUGAACCGUCGGUUCCGCGAACGUCGCCCUUGAUCCAAAGGUCAGGUCGGCCACGUGCACAGCCGCGUACACGUUCACGAUUAUCGGUAUCACGAGGAUCGCGUCGAAUUCCCCACCAACUACGGCCACAUGACUUGACGAUCGCCCCACCUACCGCUGUUCGUCGUUGAGUGAAGGCGGCGGCAGUGGCAGCUACGUCAUAUAGGGAACGACGAGCACGACGACGACGACGACGGCGGCGACGACGACAACCGACGACGACGACGACGAGGAGGACGUGGACGAGGAAAGAGGAACAGAUAGCAGUAACAACGAGCACUGUGGAGGGCACUUACUUAAACAGUGACACACGCCGCUGGUGAUUCAGUUGGCGGCAGUCGGUCAGCAGGUGCGAAACGCGCUGCUGGAUUUUGCCUUUUCUCAUCCGGUUUCGAGCGUUUUCGAUAAGCUGGGUUUCGUUUCUUUUUUUUUUUUGUUUUCGCGGGAAUAUCGUGGGUGGACGUGACGGUGCCGUUGUUUGUUGUCGUUGUUCUUGUUACCUUCGUCGCCUUCUCCGCCGGUCGCAGUGGUGGUUUUUGGUGGAUAGUGGUGGAUCACAGUGUCGAGUGUGAAACUGGAGCCGUUAGUGGUAGCUGCCGAGGGGAAGAGCUAUCAUGUGCCCGCAGAGGAUUUUCGGACUGGCGAUCGUCGCGCUGGUGACUUUAGGUGGACGAGUGACGGGGUACACGAAUCAGUGGGCAGUGCACAUCGACGGGGGACCGGAGGUGGCCCAGCAGGUCGCACAGGAGCAUGGGUUUCAAUAUCUUGAUAAGAUAGUCGACAACUGGUACCACAUGGUGCACACAUCUGUGGUGAAGAGGUCCACGGAACCGCAUCUUGGGACACACGAGAGGCUAAUACGAGACCGCAGGGUGCGUCGAGCGGAGCAACAACGAGUCAAGUCACGAACGAAACGGGACCUGAUAAUCAAACGCGGUCCAUCCAGUCUACAGACUAUCUUGGACGACGAGAGGUGGCCUCAAAUGUGGUACUUGAAUAGGGGGAACGGAUUGGACAUGAACGUGCAAGACGCUUGGGCUGAUGGAAUUACUGGACGUGGUGUGGUGGUCACGAUACUUGAUGACGGAUUGGAAAAGGAUCACCCCGAUCUCUGUAAAAAUUACGAUCCACAGGCUAGCUAUGACGUUAACAAUCACGACGAAGAUCCCAUGCCGAGGUACGAUCUCUUGGACAGCAAUCGACAUGGCACCAGAUGCGCUGGUGAAGUUGCUGCAACUGCUAACAAUUCCAUCUGCGCUGUCGGCGUCGCCUUUGGUGCUGGUGUCGGUGGGGUGAGAAUGUUGGACGGAGACGUAACCGACGCCGUCGAGGCCAGGUCUCUCAGUCUGAAUCCUCAGCACAUCGACAUCUACAGUGCCUCCUGGGGACCGGAUGAUGAUGGGAAAACCGUCGAUGGCCCCGGUGAACUUGCCACCAGAGCUUUCAUCGAAGGAAUCACGAAGGGUCGAAAUGGUAAAGGGUCGAUCUUCGUCUGGGCGUCAGGAAACGGUGGCAGGGACCACGACAACUGCAACUGCGACGGCUACACGAACAGCAUCUGGACGUUGUCCAUCAGCAGCGCGACGGAGAACGGUCAGGUGCCCUGGUACAGCGAAGCUUGCUCCUCCACCCUGGCCACCACCUACAGUUCAGGUUCGACAGGGGAAAAACAAGUGGUGACCACCGAUUUACAUCACUAUUGCACGAGCAGUCACACAGGGACGUCUGCUUCGGCACCAUUGGCUGCUGGUAUCUGCGCCCUCGCCCUCGAGGCGAACAAAGAGUUGACUUGGAGGGACAUGCAACAUAUCGUCGUGAGGACAGCGAAACCUGCGAACUUGAAGGCCCCUGAUUGGGUGACCAACGGCGUGGGAAGGAAUGUAAGUCAUAGCUUCGGCUACGGGCUGAUGGACGCUGCCGCCAUGGUGCGAUUAGCCAGAAGAUGGCGAACAGUGCCAGAGCAACACAAAUGUGAAGUUUCCGCACCACACAUGGGCAGGCCAAUACCACCAAAGAGCCAGUUAACUCUGGAAUUGCACGUCAAGGAGUGUAGCGGUGUUAAUUUUCUCGAGCACGUGCAGGCGAAGGUAUCUCUGAUGGCCACCAGAAGAGGAGAUCUUCAGAUACAACUAACAUCUCCACAGGGUACGAAGAGUACUUUGCUUGCAAAAAGGCAGCACGACGUCUCGAAGGCCGGUUUCGAUCAAUGGCCAUUUAUGUCGGUUCACACUUGGGGCGAAAGGCCACACGGCACGUGGAAACUUGAAAUCCACAAUGAGGGUCGAUAUCAAGGCCGCGCUACUCUCCACGAGUGGGCGUUGAUUUUCUACGGGACAGCAACGCUGCCCGAUCGCACAGAGUACGCUCUGUACAACCCCGCUGGCAUCAGCAUCCCCAGGAGACCAUUCGUGAAGCCGCGCGAAACCGCGUUCUCGAAGGCGCAGAAUUCUCUGACAGGCGCCAAGAGCAAGCAGACUCAACACAAAUCCGAAAAAUCGGGAAAUCUCAGCCCACCCUACGUGGUGAACGCUCAGACUCAGUCUCAGAGGAAAGGAAAGGCGCGUGGUCAGCACAAGAAUGGGAAAUCUGCGAACAAACCAACAACGAAGCCGACGGUGCAGACAUUGAGAGGGUUGACGGCAGUCAGAGGACCCAACGCCGCUGGAGAAGUUCGCCUAAUCACGUCCAGGCCACGUGGAAGAAGCACACCGAGUCCAAUCACCACUACGAUCGCUCAGACCAAACCUCCCACGACGAUUCCAACCACCAGAGCGACCAGCAGACAAAGAAUCGUCGAGAUAGUGACCACGUCGUCCCUCCAGACGGGUCUCAUCCUCCUCGAGCCACCAGCGAAGCCUGUCAUCGAAAAUGUGCCGGAGUUUUUCCAACAGUACCACAAGAUCCAACAACUCUACCCUCUCUAUCCUAUUUUCGCUGGAGUGCGCGGCACAGGUCAGCACGCCACCAGGGCGAAGGGUCUGGACUUGCUGCAAGACGAGCAGAUGUUGGACUCGAAGAACAUGGACAAGGACACGCUAGAGCAAUUCAAGUUAGUGUUCUACGGCACGGACACAUCCCUGGACUUCGACGACGACCUGGACAGGGACAAGCCAGGGCCACCUGUGAACCAUCAGGAGGCGAUCCAGGACAAUACGGCGAUCGGUGCGAGGCACAACAUCGUGGACACCGAGGGCGAUCCGUGGACGGUCAGUCAGCAGAUAGAGCGCGUGUCUCAUCCCGAAGUACAGAGACCAACGACCGAAAACCAGACGAGCGGUUGCAGUUCCGUGGACCCUGGGAAUGGCAGGUGCCUAGGUGGGUGCCUCAUUCUACUCCUUCUAGCCUACCUGACCGGUGGAGCCAGCUGGGGGAACCUGGUAACCCGCUGGCAGGAGCCACCGAGUUCGGAUUUUCGGAGUCAGAGUGAUUUCGUUGGCGCCUCGGGUUCCAUCCCGACGUCGCUGAGCGAAAGACAGCCCUUCGACGUGAGCUCGGCGAUCGACAGAUCGUCGGGGGCACCUUGGUACUCAUGAUAACAUACCUGGACGAUCGACACCUCGGCCUCUCGGCGCAUGGUUUAACCAGAAACGAGAGCUCGCGCUAGGUGUCGACGCGUUCGUUCAAAACUUUGUGUGUUGUGAGAUCCCCCUCCAGACGGAGAUUAAACACCACCGUGUCUCGCGUCGCCAGUUUCCUCCACGACCUGUUUUCUCGUUCUGGGGAAGAACUCCGAGGAUGUGCUGAACAUCGAGCUUAAAAAGUCCUAAGGGCUUGUCCAAGUGUUGUUAAUGUGGACGCCCGAUCGCUCACCAACGUGUGUCGUUCUAGGGUUAGGAUUAGUUCAAUUAAGUGUCGCGUACAAGGGACCUCUGUGACUGGCACAGGAGCAGAAAGAGUUGUCUGGACGUUCGAGUGGAUCAUUAACGGGCGACCUAGGUCGUAGGCCUAGGACUGAUAGAUAGCGUUCGAGCGCGGGGGAAAUCGAUUUCACGUGCCACCCCGACGGAAGUGGAACGCGUAUGAUUUCUAUUCUUUUGAAUAUGCAGCGAACCCCUCGUUUUCGUCAUGAAUUAUUCAAUGCGGGUGUUACGGGCUUCGUGUCCUCCGAAAAUGGUACACUUUGAUGACGAUUUCAGGGGCGGGGGAGACGGGGAAUUCCGAUUUAAUUCGUUCAUUGCAAGGAGUUUAUACCCUAGGUAUUAUAGUUUUAUGUUACUUGGAUUUUCUUCCCGACUUGUACAGGAUAGAAGGAUGUCUACUUUUGUAAUUAUCGUAAUAUGGAAUGUCACUCACCUUAAAUGGAUCCACCUAUUAUAUAACCACCUAUAACUGACCCAUACUACAAUCUCAGCUGUCAUCAGCAAAAUGUGUGUACACAUUAAAGUCACUGCAAGUGGACAAUUCCUGUUCAAUCAACCACUACACAAAAUCUUCAACUUGUCCAUAUUCGAAUCCAUCCAUUUUGUAACCCUCUGUAACCCUCUGUAACUGCCCACCAAAAUGCCUUCAAACUGUAAAAUCGCUGCAAAUGGACAUUCCCUGUCCUCCCCACCUCACCCCCUACCCGUCGCCCUUCGAUUCCUCCCCAGCUACACAGCUGACCGCUCAAUUACUAAUCGCUGCCUUUCGAGAAAAAGAAUAAAAAUCUCGCCAAUUCUUUCCCUCUAAGCGUCGAAACUAAUCGCGAAGUCUGGCACCGAGUUAGCCGAUUUUCCCCGCGUUCCAUCGAAAGCAGAAUUACUUUUCGAUUGGGCGCGCUUCCAGCGACAGGCUCGCCAUGUUCGAUACGCCGAAACAGCUCGCGACACUUUUCUACGAAACGUAAAGUAGCCAUCCGCGAAACUGCCAGUACGAGGAUUGAACCUUAGGGAUCGCGUCCCGAGGACGAUGUCCAAUUCGUGUCCUCGCGAAUUUUCGUACAACGCAGCGUGAUCCUCGAUAAAUUGCCUCGCCUAACGUUAGUAUUACUAUUACCGGUACAAUCGCAGAAAACCGUUUCGAAGGCUCGCCGUAUCGCGUCGAGUCGUCGCUAGCGAUCGACUCUCCUAAACAGCCAAUAGUCGGAAGCUAAUUGAAUCGUAAAAUUCGUGAACGACGAACGAUCGAUGAAAUUCGUCGGCGUUCGAAUCUCGAAUACCACGAGGCGUUCGUAUCCAAUUAUUAUUACCGUGACGUGGUGUUACUUCGCGACCGCGAGGAGUAACCAUACACCGAUCCUAAUGCGAACUAUUCAUGACGAUGCUCAGUGGUAAUUCCGUUACCGUUUCCAUAAAACGCGAAACUUAUCUUUAGGUGUGCGAGAAGACCUGUUUCGGGUGUUGGUGAAAAAGAUAUCCCCAAACGAACCCCUACAAUACGUUCAGGGGGUGUGUGAUAACUGAAGCACCCUGUAUACAGCUGAGCAGAUUUCACGGAUCUGAGAAAACGAAAAUGAUAUUUUAAUAACCGUGCUAACGUGACGUACAUCCCCGUACAUAAGUUUCUGGACAAUUGAUUGCUUGGACAAAAAUGAAUCCAGGUAUUUACUUGUCUCCUUAUAUGAAUAAAAGCCAGCAUAACUGAUUGACAAAAUAUGGAAAUAUCCUUGUGAAAUAAGGAAUGUUUCUCCAUAAAUCUAGCGAUAAAGAAUAUCAUUUGUGUUUCUGAAUUCUCUCUGCAUCGGAGAAUACAUAUUGCCAAUAAUUUCUUUAAUAUCUCACCAGUAAUAACGAAACAAAAAAACAAUUCUAUGCGUCCUCUAUAUGCUCUUAAUACUUCCUUCGCGAAUAUUAACGUCCUAGCAAUGAAUUUCUUUAGUAUACCCGAAGUGAUACUGUUCCAUUCGAAAAUGUCCACAUAUUUAUGACCGCGGGUGUACGAGUCGCAAGUUCAGUAGUUACUCUCGGUGUAUCGAUUAACGAAACGAGCCAGCAUGUUCCAAGAGUCCCUCCGGUUCAUUUCUUUCAUAUCUCUCCUUUCCGCUCCCCGCUUUCUCCCCAGACUUUUCACUUUUAUGUUUUCCAUUUCUCCCUUUAUGCGCUGCCGGUUCCCUCUGUCCCUUUUCCCUCCGUUUUCUUUCCGUCGAACUUUCUCCCUCGCUUUCCCUCUGUAACUUUACUUUACCCAGAAGGGAACGUAAGCUGGGCUAUCAGCACUGCCGAAACAAAAAGGUAGCCAAGCGUUUACGGGGACGGCUGAUGCAAACGGCUAAGAGGAUACGUAGGAUGCGGCGUCGGAGUCUGUAAAGGAUACGAUUACGUAACUCUGAAACCUCGACUCGCUUGUUUCCGAUUUCAAGCGGAACGCUGCAGCGAGCUACGUGCGAAUUUCGCGCAAUUCUUGACCAAAGGGAAAAGUUAAGCAAGAAUUGGGAUAAAUGGACGUUGCUCCGUGUCUUCGCGAGAUUGAAAUUCGAUGAAUUCGGGUAUUUCGAUGGUGCGAAAUAUCGCCUCUCGACCGCAAACGGCCAAUUUGUCUAUUUCGAUCGUUGGAUAAUUGCUAUUCGAAUGGGUGAUUCUUGUGGAUUAAUUUUCCAGGCAUAUUCGAUCAAUUUCGAAGUUCGGAACAUCAAAGCUUUGUCUUCCUGCAGAGUACAUGCACGGAGAAUAUUAUGAAAGUGUAAUCAGUCAGCAAAUGGAAGUUAAUAGAAAGUCACUUACGUUUAAGUAACUAGACGAUAAUGAAACCUUGAUAUUUUUAAUAUGCUUUAAAAUACUCGACGGCAGAUCACCUUCUACAUUGAAUGAGCAGAACAAUUUUCCUCUAUCAGAAAAGUGAUGAAUUGUUCGAAUGGAUUACUAUUUAAGGCGCAAUUUCUAUGAAGUAUCACGUAUGAACAAUUUAUCGUUGGAAUAGAAUCUCAUUUUAAGAAACCAAAACGUAUUUAAUUAUUAAAGGGCAGAAAUGAAACGAAAUCCUAUCAAACUAUUACAUUAAACCACGCGUAAACGCCUACAUAGUUUCAUUGGUUGGAAACACUGCUUCUGUCGAUUGCUGGAACGAUUAAUUAAAAUGAAAUAUGCCAACCCCAUUCUCGAUAAAGAAAAAAAAAAGUUCUAUAAAAAUUAAAAAAAAAAAGCGUCACCGGUGAUUUGUUGACAGUUCGAAUGAAAAGGCGUGCGGCAUUUGGGUCGAGUAAAUUGAAUUUAAAAUGAAAAAUAAAGUAUCAACAGGAAACCAGGGCAAAUAAGAAAACGGCAUUAUAUAUUUACCAGAAAAGUUCGUAAUUUUUAGUUACCGCGAGAAGGAAUAUUUACGAUUGAUUAGACAUAUUUUUCUAACAGUAAUCGAAGAAUUUUAAGUCAACAAACAUAACGUUAAUCGUAAACGUCAUCGAAAUUGAGAGCAGCGGUACGCAUCAAAGGUAUUAAAUAUUUUAUUAAGUCAUAGGAGCUGAGUAACCUAAUUCGUCGACAAAGGGCAUCGUUUAUGUACCUCGAAUUGGACUCGCUCCAUUGUCGUUCCGCAAAGGAUCAGAGGACGUGAAAACGACAGACAAGCUCCAUCUCGGUCAAGUUAUUUCUCGGUUGAGACCACUGAUCAAAACAGGUAGCCCCGUUUAAGCGAUGAAGUUCUGAACGAAAACAAGAGCUUCACGUGCUCCGUGACCGUAUAACGAGCUUCCCGCAAGCUGUAUUAAUUUUGACGGAACCAUAAUUUCGUUAAAAAUAAGCGACCGGAUUAAAAGGAAAAUUUGGUGCUUCGAUCAUAUCGCGUUUUACCGAAAUAUUUUCUAUCGGCUAGAACCUGUGUACACCACGUUAUGCGAUUAGUAAAGACACGAAAAAUUGUAAUGGCCGCUCGAGCGAUAGAGAAAUAAAAAUCCAGGCCAACAAAGUUGGAAUGACCCACUUCGCUGUUAAUUGGUAUUAUUGGCCGUCUACCACAAAGAAAAAUUAAAUGGAAGGUACCGUUAACGUCUCUUCUCGAUGGGAAUUCUACAAAGUUUCAUUGUAUCGAUUAGGAUACAAAUUGUCACAUGGAUAUACCGAUGCAUAAACUGCAAAUCUAGAUUCUGAAAGCGAAAACCUCGUUUCGCAUAUCGAAGAGAAUAAACGAACAAGAAUAUAGGUGAAAUUUAACAGUUGAACUCUAAUGCAACAAGUGAUACCUUGACUCGAUAUUAGUGACCUGCUUUGCUUGAGUCUUAUUGUGUAUAAUAAUACUUAUUUAACGACUCGAAGAAUUUACAUAGCGAAAGACAGAAUGAAUUACAAAAAUUAAUCGAGUUUCAGAAUGUUGAAAUAUAACGAAAGGAAUCCCGUCUUUCUAUUUUGCGCUUCAUUUUUUGUGUAUGUAUCAUAUACAUACUUCCAUUCCUCUUUUGAAACCAUGUGACUCUUCUACAAGGGAAUCGCAAGACAUAAAAUAUAAAGAAUAUUAUUGCUCAUUGAUAAUUUAGAAUCGCCCAAAAGUGAGACUCCACUCUACGAGUUGCUGACGAAAGUGCAACGAUUUAAAAAUACUUCUUCUUAUCCUUCUUCCUUUCGAACGAUGCUUCCGCCAUCCACCUUUUCCAAUGGUUCCUCCAUUCGUUCGUUCGAACAGCGCCGAAAUAGUUGUAAUAAGUUUUUCCUAGCGAAUAGACAACUCCAGGUUCGAGGGUGUCGAUUGUUAUCAUUCGGUUAUCAGCAGCGUCUGCUUGUUGUCCGUUGUUAUUGUAUUGCAAAUCAUAUCACUGUAACCGGAUGCUGCGCAUUAACGUCGCCUGAUUGGGAACGACGAUACCUGGAAGCAACGCGUUAUCGUUGUUUUCACGUAACGCGGCACAUUCAGCGCGAUCGGCCGAGUAUGUUAUCAGACACAUAUCAUUUGCAGCGUGUAGGUGCUUCUACAUUAAAUUCAAACGAGACGGCCUCGAAUUUUCAUCCCGAAUCACCAUUCACGCUUGAAAUCAUGGUGGUCGAGAGAGACGGGACCGAGUCCGUGGUUGGAUACUAUCGAUACACAUUGACGUCAACAAUUUAUUCUUCCGUAUCAAUCCGCUCGACGGAAUUCUCGCGAAAUGGUUUGUACCUUGUCGAAACUUGUCGCGCCGAUACGCGUCAAUUACAGCAAAUGGACAAGUCGUAGAACAGCUUUAUCCAAGAAACUAAGUUUUAUUGAUUCGGUUUGCUAGCGAAGAAACGUCGAGUUUAAUUCUCAUGGGCAUUGGAAUGAUAACUGCAAAGAAAUAAUUGUUUUGCAUGGUGAGUAAAAUGGAAAGUGUCCAUCUCUACCGAUAAAAAUGAGAAAUGAGCGUUUCGACAAUGGUUUCGAUGACUGCUCGAUCGCUCGAUACUUUAGAAUUGAUACGUAUCUAUAUUAAUGAAUAUUCCAUGAGUCGAUGCGAUUUAAGCUCAUUGUCGGGCUCGUCUCGCGUUUCCAAAACUCAUUUUUCAGGCUUCGUUCGACCAUCAUGAUUGCUGGCAACAAAAUGUCUCGAACUCGCAGUAACGUGGAGUUGAAUGAAGUGUAGAAGCCAGCACGCCUAUUCUCUUAACGAACAUGUUACAGCUUAAACGCUACAGGCUUGUCGUUAUCUUCGGAAAUAUAAAAUCCAAAAGUCUCUUUUAGAAAAUUUGUAUAACUCAAACUUUAAUUUUCAUCGAACUCACAACAAGUUUAUUUCUUAUUCGUUAUUUAGUAUUUCUUUUUUUUUUUAUCGAGCCCGCUCAUCGACCGAAGGCAACGACGAUCCCCCAGUUAUAAGUAUAAUUGUUAUUCCAUCUAGUUUCGUGUUGCUAUAUGUUUAUAGUUAGACAAUUUUUUAGCGAAUCAGUUAAAUGCGUGCUGUGAACCGUACGAAACGUACUUACAAAAAUUGGUCGAUUAAUUUCACGUGGUUGCCAUAAGCGCAAACGGUCCCACGAAGCUUCUCUUUCGGUUCGGAAACCUCGAGAUACGUUCACGAUACUUCGCACAGCAUUCGUUUACGAGAAGGUUCGUGCACGUUAAGUUAAUCGAGACCGCGACGCACAACAUACAAAUCGCGACGCACAAAGCAAUAUAAUACGCUUCCAUAUACAAGGCCUCCUGAAAUACGUGAUCCCGUGCAACUGGAGCUGAUUUCUAUCAAGAAAGCAAAGUAAAUUACGUGGCGUAAUAGUUUUUCCCAUUAGCUUUAAUUUUCGAAACAAUUGUCGUCGACAUUUUAUUUGUUAUUCGAACAAAAUUGUACCCUCUCUCUAAACUGAGUAAAUUUUAUGAAAACGUCUAUUUUCUUAUGGGAAAAUCUAACAAACCCCUUAGGUACAACAAUUCUUCGUUUAAUUUCCAUAUUAAUUAAUGUUCGGAAUGUAAAUACAAACGAAAAUAAUUUCUCUCAAGAAGGAUAAAAUAAACCUAACGCAAUGGGGGUUGCAAUUGCGAUCGAUUUUCUCGAAAAUCAAGGCUCCUGGAAAAAUUAUAUUUCCACAAUAUAAAUUUCUUUCUUCCGAACCACUCUAUUCCAGAUUGCACCAGGCAUUUUAGGGUGCUCUAUAUUUAAUAGUUGACGCUUUGCAGGCAAUCGUUACAUUCGUUGAGCUUUCAUUCGCGUGUACUUAGACACGACUUAGAAACGACUUAGAAAUGAUUUAUCCUUGAAAAUACUAUCGUUUUCCGUUCGUGAUAAUUUCGAGUGCGAGGAUACAGUUCCGUAUAUUGUAUAUUUAGCUUUUAAUUUAUUAGUCGCAUAGGCACUGGAGAACAGCGCAUAAUACACGUUCCAAAGCGCAGGAGCCAUACGUAAAGUGCAUAAGAGCGUGGAAAUUGAACAUAUUCGGAAGAUUAAUUAACAAGUUUACCCGAUGGAAAAGUCGAAACGGUGGCUUUGUUUCAAAUGUAUAUAAUAUGGCACUGGAGAACAGCGCAUAAUACACGUUCCAAAACGCAGGAGCCAUACGUAAAGUACAUAAGAGCGUGGAAAUUGAACAUAUUCGGAAGAUUAAUUAACAAGUUUACCCGAUGGAAAAGCCGAAACGGUAGCUUUGUUUCAAAUGUAUAUAAUAUACGUAAUCGUACAGUUUAUAUUACAUGGUGGCAUAUUACAAAUUAAUAUCUGAGUUGCAAACAUGGAGCCUACCGACUAAAACUGGUUUCCGAAAUCUACUUAGCAGCCAAAUAUUAAUCAACGAACCUUCGUCAAUUCAUUACUGCCAAACACUGAAAUCAUAAUGAUUAUUUCUUAAAUUAAUAACUAGUUUUAGGCCACUGAUAAUAAUAGAAAGUCAAAUUUUUAUACGAAGAAUUAUUUUAAAAUAUCAACUGUUGGAUGCCAGUUUUAAAUUAAACAUUAUAAUUGAGAAAUCAAAGAUAAGGAUUGAUAGUCGUAAGCAUUAAUACUUAAAAAUUUGGCAUCAUUUUGAAAUUAAUAGUCAUGGUUCACUCUGAGACCAACAUAGAUCAUGUCCUUCAUCUUUAAUUACUUUUUAUAAAACAUUUUGAGUUUGCCAUAAGUGUUCAAUUACGUUGGAUUACAUUUACCUCUCUGUCCCUUAAAUAUUCUUCCGAUUUUCAACAUUUUCUAAAGCUCUCACACCUGGUGCUAGAGAAACUUUUCCAAUGCAUAGUUAUCUAUGUAGGAAUCUUGACAUGUUGCAUUAAAAUGUCGAUAUUUCAUUGGUAGAUAGCCAUACCUCGAGACUUUUCGAAUAUUAUGAGUAUUAAUCUUGGAAUAAAUCUCUGUGCUAUUAACGUGUUUCGCGAGCUAAGUUAAAAAUGUUAACUAAGAAUCUAUGGAAAGUUAUUUAUACGUUCAAGGUUUCCAGUGACACUCUUCUAUGCCCUUACGUGUGUGUUCUCACCCAACCCUCUGUAAUCUACGAAUUAUUUAAUUACUCUUCGAGAGAAACGAGGACUCCGAUAAUUCAAAACUUCCCUCCCCCUUUAUUCAAUUCCACCACGAUUUUCUUCCCCCAAGAACAAUUUUCUAUUAGGCCAAUGAACGUCUAAAUUUUUGGUAUGACAAGAAAAUCAGGCUUAUGGAGGGUUAACCGUACGCAUAAAAAUUCAUGUAUAAUAACUGUGUACAUACGUACAAUGGACGAAAACACCGACACGAGGCGUACAGAAAUCGAUCAACGACGAGAGGGUCCCGACUAUCGUUCGUUCGACUUUCGUGCGAAGUUGCGAAGGCGAACCGAGAACAUCACCGAAACCCUAACAAACUGUUUUCGAUCAACUAUAACUGAAUUCACAUCCGAUGUAGACAUAUACGAAGACUCUCGACAUCUCACCAAACUGAUUCCAAGACUUUUAACUUUUUGAGGCACAUGACUCGGAAGACAAAUAAAUCAGCACAGAAUUACGAUCGCAUUCAGCUCCAAAAUUACUAAGAAAAAUUGAAAUUCAUGUUUCUUUUAUUAUAAGAUAUUUUAUUUACUCGUAACAUAUUUAUCCUGCAAUUUUUAACCUGCCCAACCUCAAAGAGUUGAAGAACAGUCGAAGACGCUGAAAUUCCUGAUUUCGAGAGCACGCCGGAAUAAAACAUGUACAGAAUCUCUCGAUUCCGAAUAUUCGCUUGGCUCGAAGGUCCUCUUUUCGUUCACGAAAAAACCGACCAGUCAAAUGGAGUGGAAAAGUGGAGAAGAGAAUUUGAUUAGACACGGCGGAGUUCAUGUAACGUCGAUCCCGAAAAAGAAAGUUCACGAAUCUACUAAGCGUGUAUAUUGGAUUCUAACGAUUAGAACCAAUUAUUUUAAUCAACGUGGGGAAACGGGGGGGUGAUGAUAGUCGCGUAUGAGAUUUUGGAUGUGUUUCAAUUCGUUCUGGUGUGAAGUAUCUUCCAAGGUGUACAAUGCAUAGGACGUCACGGCUGGACAGUCGAAUUUCCGAAAAUUUCACGGACCGCUUUCCCGUGAAAUGUUGGCCGCACGCUCUGAUGCUUCGUAGAUUUUAUACAAGGCGGAAUCACGUGUCGCGAAAAUGUAAAAUUAAGAAGAGCGUGACUAGCGUUGCGAAAACGCUAAUAGUCCACGACGGUGUAGUAGCAUUCGCGAUUCAGGUACUUAAUAGCUUAGACGAAAUCGAUCUUCGUGGUUUGAAUUACGAUCGGGAAUUAAUUUUAAUUAAUUACGGGUUCCCGUUGUCGGUGUGAUAGACGUUUAACAUUCGAUAAUACCACCGGAAUCGUGUGUGGUUUUCGCGUGACAAUAAUUAACUAUGCUUCGUGGAUCAUGAAGGAUACAAGCAUUGGCACGGAGAAGGUAUUAAGUUAAGCUUGGUGUAUUUCGAACGUUAGUGCGCGGUAAAGUAAAGUUUCGUUCGAACGAUAGGUGGCGAGUGAAAUCAAACCUGCAGCGAUUUAUCGAUUUUUGUUCGAUAUGACUCCAUAAUUCAGAUUCUAAUUUUUAUUCAACUUAUAACGAAUAAGAGAUCAUUUGUUUUUGAUUAAACGUUUGAAAUUCUAUUCUAAGUAAAGAACACUUGCUUCUUAGACAUAAAAUUCACUCCAAUUCGUGAAUGAAACGAAGCCAUUAAUCUCUCUGCUCGCUCGUCGCACUUCUUAAAAUAUCGUAAUCAAAAUCUUGACCCUGUGAUGUCGUAAUUUUGUACUUAACGAAAGAAGAACGGAUGUUUAAUUUUGUAACUCAUCGCCACGAAAGCGAACUCUAAAAUAUUAGAAGGAAGGUCUCGAUCUUUAGGAGGGACGAGGUACCUCCGGAAAUUGUAUUUGAAACGCUUUAAUAUUGAUCGCUGUCUCAGAGCAUCGCGAAGCUCCCUUUAUGGAAGUAUCUUUCCCUUUCCCUAUGAAAGGGAAAGGGAAAGGGAAAGUCCCUUUCUUUACGAAAGAAAGAAAAAUAAUGCCCAAAUCAAGUCGGAUUUCCGGAACUGUCCAGCGGUGGCACGGUCCGCCAUAAUGUUAAUGUAUCUAUUGUAAAUGUUUGUAUAUGUAAUGUAAAAUGUAUCUUUGCUUGGAAAGGCGACAUAUCCUAAGUUAUAGAGUUCUGAGACAAGAGAAACGGAGAUGUAAGGUGCGAAUAGCCCCGACGUGUUCACGCCUUCACACCAUUUUCUUCCUCCUCGUGUGUCUCGAUUUUCGUUUCUUUCCUUUUUCGCUCGAACCAGUACUCGAUAAGCUCGCGAACAGAGAAAAACAAAUGGGGGAUCUCGUAUGGGAUUCCUCCUUUCCUCUGACAAAGCAUCAAAGAGCGACGAGAACGAAGAAAAUAGCGAGAAAAGGUGUCAGGGCAUGCCACGUACGUUUAUGUACACAUAUACAGAAUAUAUUGUAUAAGUAAUUGCAACUACUAUGAACCAUUAUAUGCGACAUUGAAAUUUGUAUAUCAUGGAUGAAUUAAAAGGGGAAAAUAUCCUGAAUAAGAAAUCACCGAGCAUAUUAUUAAUCACGAACGAACUGUUAAUAGCUAUUCGAGCGUCAUCCGAUUAGAUUACCGCGAAGCGAACACACGCACACACACGAACACACAUGGUAACCUGGUUUCUAUUUAACAGGGAAACAGGUACGUGCCACUAAAGCAUGCUUCCGUCGACAUUAGUGUAGAUGGCGAAGGGGCGAAUGCUCGACCAGUAGGCUGCAUGUUUAGCAAAUUCACGUGGUUAUGCGAUCGUGACGUGUUUGACCCGUCAUCGAUGGGUUUAGGAGCAAAAAUUACGGAAAUGAUCUAUGAAUUACAUUUGACGUACUGUGGUUCCAACGGAAAUCUAGGGGAUAUCUUAGAGCUUGUCAUAAUUGGACGUUUGUUCAUGUUUGUUGAUGAUUUGAAUGAAUUUAAUCGUGAUGUUUCUGGGAGAACAAAUGGGGCAAUAUUUUUAAGUGUUAUAGAUCUGCAUUUAUUAGACGAUAAAUUAAAAAAGGAAAUUUUUUUUUAACAUCGCAUUCGAUUUGAAUUAUAAUAUUACGUUUAAUAGUAAUUUAAUUCAAAACCAACCUUGCGAACGUAAUUUAACGAUUGUGUGUAACGGUAAAAGAAAUAUUUAAAUAUUUAAAUUCAUACAAAAAAAAGAAAUUAUUAUGAUGAGGGUACGUAGUAGUAACACGAAAGUGUUGCCUCGCAAACUUGUCUUUAAACUAUGCUAAUAUUAAAUGUAAUUAAACGGCAAGCUAUCUAAGUUAUUUUUUAUACCACUGCGUUUAAUUCAGAGGAACGAAAUUGACUUGGGAAAUUUGUUACCGUUCCCCGAAUAAAAGCCCAUUCGCUGUCCUGGAACUUUGUUCCGAAAAUGGCAUUGGUUGCCUCAUAAAAUUACCCCGGGUGCAUUAUUCAUGAACGCGUCGUCCAAAAGUAGCGAAUUUUACUAAAUACGCCAUCGGUGCUAGUGCUCACGUGAAGUCUGAUUGAAAGAUAAAUGUUAAUGACGGGAUUUAGAGGGAUUUGAAUACAGAGAUGAGGGACGCCCAGAUGAUAGGGGCACACUGUUAAAAGUUAACCUAGGAAUAGAUUUUAAUUUAACUUUUGUGUAUACGAAAAGUUUUCUGCUUGCACUUCAUGCAUAAUUCAAACGAACUUUCACGUGAACUUUGAGAGGGACUCUAUAAUACCUGUAUUUGAAUAAUGAAAAUACUUAACAGUUUGCCUAGUUACGCAAUAUUAUCUAAUAGCUACGGCUCAUGGAAUCGUACGCGUUCAUGGCUGAGGCAUUCUUGAAUUUUUCAUUUUCCGUUCUUGCGGCGACUCGGUUGGUGCCCUUUGUUGAAAACUUCCUGGCUUUACGUGAAUUUGAAAAUACCGCAUUGUAUCUGGAACGUUUCUUUGCCAACGGAAAUGCUUCUUACAAAUUUCUUUUCUGUCCUUCGGGAAUGAACCCCCGAACUUUCCUCGACGUUAAUACGUUCGCGUCGCGCAAACUGGCUUUCUCUUUGAAAUUAUUGAAACGCUCGACGUUGCACGUUUUCUGCAUGCGAUUUCAGUUGGUAAGCGUUACUAUCAAAUUAUUAUUGCAUGCAGAGUAAAUACAAGAGUAAAUAUAAAAGUGAGUUUAAAUUCUAUUAUUUCUAUUCUUUUACCACAAAUAACAGGAGUGUGGACUUGUCUUCUCUGAUAUCACUUUUCGCAAUUUGCACAUGGUUUAAAAGUAAUUUUGUGUAAACGUAUGUGUGAAUAACUAAUACUAAAGAAAAUUGUCGAGACAGUAGUAGCAUUGCAUUAACAUUUUCGUAUAGUUUUGUAACUAGAUUGUAGAGUAUUAAUCAAAUAGUUUUAAAGUAAUUAAGGUACUCGUUAUUAUACGUUAAUAUAUUAAUAAAACACGUUAUUUUGUUUCAAAUCCUUCAUCAUUUCAUAAUGGAGUUUUUUAACAGUGCAUCAAUCGCUGCAAUUUGUUUGUCCUACGUGUGUAUAUUCUCAUGCCUUCAGUUUUCAAUUUUACGUGUUUGUUUACCCACUUUCCUGGAUCGAGCACAAUUUCUUGAGCAAUAUCCUGUCUGUCAAAUAAAUUUCUUAACGUCCCACAGGUGAAUAUCGAGCUGUCUGUAGACGAUGAAAUUUUCAAUAAUGUCCCAUUUUAGUAGCAACUAAAAACUACAAAUAUGAUUUGUAACUGACGUCUAGCAUUUUUUAAUAUAACAUUAAUCAGUUUAGAUUUUCAAUCGUGCUAAUGUUUAUCGGAGUGAAGAAGAUCAAAAUUGAAUUCUCUGGAAAAAGAUUACUUGUCACACCUGAUGUGUCACGUGUCGCUUUAUCCCUCUACUCCAUAGCAGGAUUCUGAAAACGUAUUUAGGUACUUGGGGCUCUCCAUGGGCGAGUUGCGGUGCGGAUUUUCUCAGACCAGCCAACUACCACCAACCACCAUCACCAACCACAUCCACAUCCACAACCACACACGUACAACCAAUAAAAAAAGACCUAUCCCUGAUCGCUUCACCAGCACGAGUGUAAGCCGAACUGGUACCGCCACGUCGGGCUCUGCGUGUUCGAGUGCCCAACCACGACUUAUGGCAUUUCUGACGAGACCAAAGCAGUCUGCGCUCCUUGCCACUACUCCUGUCUAACUUGUUCAGGACCUUUGG